UGUAAGGAACUUGUGUUUCCUUGGUUGAAGUCUUGGAGUGUUGUAUCUCCGAGCAAAGGUGUUAAGGCUUGUGUCCUUAAGUUGUAAAGGUUGGUUAAGCACCCGUAAGCUUAAUAGUGAAGUCUUGGAGUGUUGUAUCUCCGAGCAAAGGUGUUAAAGCUUGUGUCCUUAAGCUGUAAAGGUUUGUUGAGCACCCGUAAGCUUGACAAGUUAGUGGAAAA
rnacentral:lncRNA from 1 species